CUCCUCCUGUAGCCCUGUUUCAUUUUGUUUAGUGGCUCAGCUAACUGCAGUUGGGAGAACCAUGGAUAAAGCUGAAGCCCAAAGAAGCCUUUGGAAAAACUCUGGUUCUUAGGUUUGUCCCUGGUCAGGGCACAUGGUUUACUGAGCCAUAGUCAGCCUGAGUUCUGUUACUGUUGUCAUUCAUCAGCGAGCCCAGAAAACAUCAAAACAAUUCACCUACUCUGGGGGAUGUUAAUACACCACAUCACCUUAAAUCAGGGGUGGCCAACCUGAGCCUGAGAAGGAGCCAGAAUUUACCAAUGUACAUUGCCAAAGAGACACAGACAAGCGGGAGCCAGACUUAAGGGUGUGUGUGUGUAGCGAGGCGGUCUGGUUCCCCACCGCCCCGGAGAGGGACAAGCCCCUCCGGACACCAAAGUGGGUGGAGCCAGUGGAGCUUGCGCCUGCCCCCCCAGAGGUUAGGGCGCAGGACAGGAAAUACAAAAGCCCAACCCCAGAGCUCACUAGAGGCCUGGCCGCUGGAGAAGCCAGACGCCUGUGACCUAGCUCUCGGUGGGGAGACUUCUGCAGUCUGUGACCGACCCACGGACUGGCCAGACCAGCCGAGGCCUGAUGCCGACCAGACCCCGGGAAGAGGUUAAGCCUGCCUGUGGCAAGCUACCCAGAAGACCUGCCAAGCCUACCGCUCGCUGAGUACCUUGAGGAGCCCAUGGUGAUUGAUUCCAUGGAGGACACUGUCCAGACACAGGAUAUCAGUCCCACCCCAAACCUGAGAGUGGACCAAUUUUGUCAGGCAGGCUGCCCAACCUAUGGGCCACCAACGCCAGUGAUUUUUACCAGGUCACCACAUAUCCCUUAAGGAGGAGGAUGUCCAAGGGGGGAGUGACCGGGGCCGCCACCCUUGCCGCUGAGUGCCAAGGUACACAAUCCCCUCCGUCACUAUCUGCAGGCCACUGGAGAACCCCACCACUGCAUCCUGAGGUGGCCUGCUGGACUCUUGGCAGGUUAUGGGAGCAAGGACUGCUGCUGCUGCUGGAAGGUGGUGAGUAACACUUUCUCUACUGAAACAAAGCCAAGAGAGGCUCCACAUGGCCCCUGCAGCAGAUUCAACUGUGUUAUCACAAACAUUUGGCACUCUUAUUGAACUCUUCUGCACCUAAGACCCUGACAGGAGCUGUAUUUCAUACAUCACUCUUGGGAUUGAUGUCCCCUAAUUAAUCUUCAUCACAAGGGAAAUCUAACCAACUGGAGGAGAAUUUCCAGCUAGGAAAUCUGUUAGAAAACAAAGCUUAAAGUUUACUGCCAUUCUUACUUUAUGCUCCUUAACAUUGCUGUACCUAAUUCUGGUUAUGAUUAAGGCUGUCCAAUGAUUUUAAAAAAGUAUCAUAAUUAAUCACACUAUCAAAAAACAAUUGCGAUUAAUCACAGUGUUAAUUGCACUGUUAAACAAUAAUAAAAUACUAGAUAUAUAAAUAUUUUUGGAUGUUUUCCACGUGCCACAUAAAUAAUAAUAUAAAGUGAGCAGUGUA